UGUCAAGAUAUGAUCAUCGAUCGGUCAUUCCUCUCCAAUAUCGACCGAUGGUCGAGCUCGAUGGUCAUCUCGGGUGCAUGCUCCAAAUAUCUCCAAAAUGCUCCAAAAUCAUCACUUAUCUCCAAACUACUUCCGAUCUUAUAAAUAUAAUAAAUAGACUCUAUAAUAUAAUAAUUAUUAGUAAAAACACCUAUAAACCAUGGAUGAAAAUGGGUCAAAUCCAUGGUCAAUCAACUCUCCCAGACUUACCCUUUUGCUUGUCCUCAAUCAAAACAAACAGGCAGUCUCUCUAAAUGAGGUUUUAAAACAGCAGUGACUCACAUGAUUUAAAACUUAGAAUCUUAAAAUCUGCAAUAUUGCAAUCCACAUCUAAGAAGUCCUAAUCACAAAAGCACAUUAUACUAUAUCCUAGCUUAGCAACCAAAUUCAUCUAGCCACCAACUUAGCAAAUCUUGUCUGACAUUCCCCUC
rnacentral:lncRNA from 1 species